rnacentral:rRNA from 1 species
UACGUAGGGGGCAAGCGUUGUCCGGAAUCAUUGGGCGUAAAGCGCGUGUAGGCGGCUCGAUAAGUCCGCUCUGAAAGUCCAGGGCUCAACCCUGGGAUGCGGGUGGAUACUGUCGGGCUCGAGUCCGGAAGAGGCGAGUGGAAUUCCCGGUGUAGCGGUGAAAUGCGCAGAUAUCGGGAGGAACACCAAUGGCGAAGGCAGCUCGCUGGGACGUUACUGACGCUGAUGCGCGAAAGCGUGGGGAGCGAUCCGG